rnacentral:rRNA from 1 species
AGAACGAACGCUGGCGGCAUGCCUAACACAUGCAAGUCGAACGAGACCUUCGGGUCUAGUGGCGCACGGGUGCGUAACGCGUGGGAAUCUGCCCUUGGGUUCGGGAUAACAGUUGGAAACGACUGCUAAUACCGGAUGAUGACUUCGGUCCAAAGAUUUAUCGCCCAAGGAUGAGCCCGCGUAGGAUUAGCUUGUUGGUGAGGUAAGAGCUCACCAAGGCGACGAUCCUUAGCUGGUCUGAGAGGAUGAUCAGCCACACUGGGACUGAGACACGGCCCAGACUCCUACGGGAGGCAGCAGUGGGGAAUAUUGGACAAUGGGCGAAAGCCUGAUCCAGCAAUGCCGCGUGAGUGAUGAAGGCCUUAGGGUUGUAAAGUCUCGUUUACCCGGGAUGAUAAUGACAGUACCGGAGAA